rnacentral:rRNA from 1 species
CCUACGGGUGGCAGCAGUGAGGAAUAUUGGUCAAUGGACGAGAGUCUGAACCAGCCAAGCCGCGUGAAGGAAGACUGCCCUAUGGGUUGUAAACUUCUUUUAUAUGGGAAUAAAACAGGGUAUGCAUACCCUCUUGUAUGUACCAUAUGAAUAAGGAUCGGCUAACUCCGUGCCAGCAGCCGCGGUAAUACGGAGGAUGCGAGCGUUAUCCGGAUUUAUUGGGUUUAAAGGGUGCGUAGGCGGAUUGUUAAGUCAGUUGUGAAAGGUUGCGGCUCAACCGUAAAAUUGCAGUUGAAACUGGCAGUCUUGAGUACGGUAGAGGUGGGCGGAAUGCGUGGUGUAGCGGUGAAAUGCUUAGAUAUCACGAAGAACUCCGAUUGCGAAGGCAGCGCACUGGACUCCAACUGACGCUGAUGCUCGAAAGUGUGGGUAUCAAACAGGAUUAGAUACCCUGGGAGUC